AUAGCCCUAUCAAAAGAAGUACCCCCAAGUGGAUCUCCUCUGUAUGUCAGGUCUGUCUGAAGAGCCUAGCCUUUUGACUGUUUUGCUCUGGGCAAAAGUGAAAUGUUGCAUUCUUCAAAUCCACUUGCUAUGACUUGAACACUGGAUCACUCUUCAAGCAGAAGAAAUUUUUUGAGAUUAUCUUCAGGUGACUGACCAUUUCAGUAGUCCCUUUACACAGAUGGAUACCUGUGUUAAUGGUGAUAUUAAUUUUUCGACCUCAGGAGAAGACUAUCCUUAUUUUCUCAAUGUCUUUCUUACACCAGGACUCUUCUGUGAAACUCGGCGUUCACACACUCCUAGAUGACACUGGAUGACAAAGUAUUUUAGAUGCAUAAGGUAGAU
rnacentral:lncRNA from 1 species